rnacentral:rRNA from 1 species
UUUUUAGGUCUGGUAAUUGGAAUGAGUACAAUUUAAAUCCCUUAACGAGUAUCCAUUGGAGGGCAAGUCUGGUGCCAGCAGCCGCGGUAAUUCCAGCUCCAACAGCGUAUAUNAAAGUUGCUGCAGUUAAAAAGCUCGNAGUUGGAUUUCUGGCUUGAAACAUUUUGCCGGCCACGGUUUCGUGUGUUAGUGCUUGGUGUUCUGGCCAUCCUUCCAAUCGCUAUUUGUCUUUCUUCAUUGAUGGGCAAGUGGUAUUGGAUCUUUUACUUUGAAAAAAUUAGAGUGUUUCAAGCAGGCUUUAUGCUAUGAAUACAUUAGCAUGGAAUAAUAAUUUAGGACUUCGGUUCUAUUUUGUUGGUUUCUAGGACUGAAGUAAUGAUUGAUAGGGAUAGUUGGGGGUGCUAGUAUUCAGNGGCCAGAGGUGAAAUUCUCGGAUUCGCUGAAGACUAACUUAUGCGAAAGCAUUCACCAAGGAUGUCUUCUUUAAUCAAGAACGAAAGUUGGGGGAUCGAAGACGAUCAGAUACCGUCGUAGUCUCAACCAUAAACUAUGCCGACUAGGGANGAGUGAACGUUGCAUUUUCGACUUCNCUCGCACCUNAUGAGAAAUCAAAGUCUUUGGGUUCCGGGGGGAGUAUGGUCNCAAGGCUGAAACU